AACGAACGCUGGCGGCAUGCCUAACACAUGCAAGUCGAACGAGACCUUCGGGUCUAGUGGCGCACGGGUGCGUAACGCGUUGGAACCUGCCCUUAGGUUCGGAAUAACUCCCCGAAAGGGGUGCUAAUACCGGAUAAUGUCUUCGGACCAAAGAUUUAUCGCCUUUGGAUGGGCCCGCGUUGGAUUAGCUAGUUGGUAGGGUAAAAGCCUACCAAGGCGACGAUCCAUAGCUGGUCUGAGAGGAUGAUCAGCCACACUGGGACUGAGACACGGCCCAGACUCCUACGGGAGGCAGCAGUGGGGAAUAGUGGACAAUGGGCGAAAGCCUGAUCCAGCAAUGCCGCGUGAGUGAUGAAGGUCUUAGGGUUGUAAAGCUCUUUUACCCGGGAUGAUAAUGACAGUACCGGGAGAAUAAGCUCCGGCUAACUCCGUG
rnacentral:rRNA from 1 species